AUGCAGAUGUUUGGCUUCAUGAUUCUAUUUCUAAAACACAUCAUCACACUUAUUGAAUGUUACAGGCUUUGUUACUCUUUUCCCACAGGAAUCCAAAACAACAUUGCCAAUGUUGAGAAACUAUUUACAAAAAGCGAGGAGGCACACCUGCAACGUUCCAGGCUGAAGCAGGAAGGACGACCUCUAGAAAUACAAGAUGGGAAAGCUCUGAGAACAUUCCACAGAACACAAAGAAGGUUCUCUGAAGAAGCAGCAACUGUUUUUGAGGUAUCAGUCUACUCAGAUUAGAUCUUCUCGCAUGGAUCUCAAAGCUAAUGAAUCUUUGAGGACGCUCCAGUCAGCAUCGUCCCUCUGUAUUCCAAAUGACGUACUGGAUCUUCAUGCUGUUGUGGUGAGUUCAUUCAUUCUUUCUUCCUACCAACUCAGGAGGAAUGAUUAAAGUUGGGCUCUUUGUACUGUUCUAUACACAGGCUGAUGUUGGAAAUGGAAACUUCCUGCUGCCACUCUCUCUUUCUUCCUUUGCCUUGCUAUUUUCUUAGUAAUGACUGGAAAUACUUACUGCUACUGUUUCACCUGCCAGAAGUUCUUUUUUAAGAGGAACUAAUUGGAAUUAAGUGUAACAGCAGAAAUAACAACAGUCUUUGUGUGCUGUGAUAAGCUUUUUAAAGCUUAAGAUCUCUUUUCCAUUGGUAUGAUUUGGAAGUGCAUAUAGCAACAGUGAUUGUAAUGCAGUAUGUUAGACCAGCAUAAGCUCAGAAAACAUCUCUCCUGAAAGAAAUUUCUUCUUCAGCAUGACAGGACUGAGGAUUCCUUUUAGGAAAUGUUUGUAACAUUGAUGUUAAGUUUUGCUUUGUCCCUUAGCCAUUUCUGUUGAUUUAUUGCCUGAG
rnacentral:lncRNA from 1 species